UACCAGCACACGCCUGGCGUCCGGCUUC
rnacentral:sRNA from 1 species